UUUCCGUAGGUGAACCUGCGGAAGGAUCAUUAUUGUAUAACUGAGGUGCGAGGGCUGUCGCUGACCCGGAAGUCGUGCACGCCCGAGUGUGUCCUCUUGCAUAAUAAUCCAUCUCACCCUUUGUGCAUCACCGCGUGGGCACCCUUCGGGAUCAUCUCGGAGGGGGGCUCGCGUUUUCACACAAACCCCCCUUUUAAAAGUGUAGAAUGACCACAUUUAUGCAAUCAAUACAACUUUCAACAACGGAUCUCUUGGCUCUC
rnacentral:misc_RNA from 1 species